rnacentral:tRNA from 1 species
ACCUUGGUGGUGUACUGGUCAACACGUUCGACGCGUAACCGAGAGGUCCGUGGUUCGAUUCUCGGCGAAGGUC